CCUCCCUUCAUUUCUCUUCAUUUCUCCUCCCUUCUCUCACGAAUGCACUUCUCUGUUCGUCCAAAUUUCGUUCUCGCAGAAAUCACUCACCUUCCUGCUGUCAGCCCCUCUCAAAAGGCUAGGAAUCUUGUCGUGGGAGCACUAAUCACUGCUCCUUUGUUUUGGCUUCUGCUGCUGUAUAUGUAGCAGAAGAAACAGAUUUUUUACAUGCGAUUGUGCCGAAUAAGACCUUCGCGUUGCCGAUUGGUGUUCGGCUUGUGUCUUGUUAUGGAGGGAUCUGCGUUGCUUCUACGCCGUUGCGGCCAGUCAUGCUUCGUCCGCUUAUGAAAAUAAAGGGAAUUGAUUCCUUUGUGAGUAGCAAUGCAUCUACAGGAUUUCGAGUAGGAUCUUUUGCUGAAAACUAUUUGAUUGAGGAGCUCAACACCCCUCAAGAGCAGAACUGUUGCUGCAGCUGCUGUGGUUGAUGAACGGCCAUAUACAGAUAGAGCUCUUUCUAUCAGACCACUGCAUGUCUCGAUUAGAGGCCAAGAGUUCACCAAAAGCGGAUUUGAAGAAGUAAGCAAGAAGGUGGAAAUAUGGUGAAAAACCUGGCAAUAUUGUGGAAUCAAGGGGUUUGCUGCAACUAUAUAUGUUUGGCAUCUUUGAUCAGAUGAAAAUUAGGCGAUUUACUCGAAUUUAAGGUUGCUCCGAUGGUCCAACCUCAUUUGAAGUAGGAAUUUCUAAGAGUUGAGACACCUUGGACUUCGGAGAUAGUUGUUGAACUUGAG